rnacentral:misc_RNA from 1 species
AAGCCACGUCAAUCCCUGCACAAACAUUUUCAAUACUCAAAUCAGAUUGCUCAAAUAUACAAACAAAUUCCAUAGCCAAUUCAUUAAAGCUUUUACAUUUCUUCUGCCACCAGCUGGACAGAACAUUCAAACAAUAAAAGUUAUAAAUAAAAUACACGGAUUUAUGCAUCCGGAAAAAAAACUAGAACUUGGCACAACUUAAAAGAUAGAUAGAUAGAUAGAUUUUUUUUAUUCAAUGGAUGCACAACGAGCCGUGUAUAACCAAUGAAGUACCCAGCUAGAAGUAAUCCUACCCACUCCCUUCGCCAUGAUUGGCAGUCAUGAUUAUAUUUUUUGUUCUCCCUAGUGGCCUAAUUCUUUAUUUGCCUUCCCUCCCGGGUGAACCACACUCCUUACAGACUUGACGAGACAACACCAAAUUAGUAUCAAUAAUUAGUUCCAUUCAAGCCAAUUAUAUAAACAAUAAUUGCAUCAAUUUUAUCAACAGGAAAUAAUGACAAUUGAAUUCCAUAGUCAACUAAAGAGUCUAUCAACCUGAGUUCACAUUAAAACAACUUUCCAACAGUUUUGUCCAUUAAUAAUUGGGUAGAAACAACGAUAAACAAAACAUUCAAAGCCAAAAUCUCCAUAUGCACACAAAUCUGUACAAAUAUUACACAAGCAA